UACAGAGGUCUCAAGCGUUGUUCGGAUUCAUUGGGCGUAAAGGGUGCGUAGGCGGCGCGGUAAGUCGAGUGUGAAAUCUCGGGGCUUAACUCCGAAACUGCAUUCGAUACUGCCGUGCUUGAGGACUGGAGAGGAGACUGGAAUUUACGGUGUAGCGGUGAAAUGCGUAGAUAUCGUAAGGAAGACCAGUGGCGAAGGCGGGUCUCUGGACAGUUCCUGACGCUGAGGCACGAAGGUCAGGGGAGCAAACGGG
rnacentral:rRNA from 1 species